ensembl:miRNA mir-1022 miscRNA
GGUCCAAAAUCGGCAAGAUCAUUGUUAGGACGCCAUCUUGAAGCAAUAUAAAGAUGAUAGUCCAAUGAUGAUCCAGCUGUUCAAGGCU